rnacentral:rRNA from 1 species
AUUGAACGCUGGCGGCAGGCUUAAAACAUGCAAGUCGAACGAGUGGCGGACGGGUGAGUAAUGCGUGGGAAUCUUGCUUAUGGAGGGGGAUAACUACGGGAAACUGUAGCUAAUACCGCGUACCAUAGGAUGAGCCCAAGUGGGAUUAGGUAGUUGGUGUGGUAAAGGCUCACCAAGUCGACGAUCUCUAGCUGGUCUGAGAGGAUGACCAGCCACACUGGGACUUAGACACGGCCCUGACUCCUACGGGAGGCAGCAGUGGGGAAUAUGGCGCAGUGGGGGCAAGCUGACGCACCCAUGCCGCGUGAAUGAAGAAGGCCUUCGUGUUGGAAAGUCCUUGCGGUAGCGAGUCGUUACCUCCACAAGAAGCACCGGCUAACUCCGUGCGAGCCGCCGCGGUAAUUC